rnacentral:rRNA from 1 species
UGUUUCGGCAAGGGGGUCAUCCCGACUUACCAACCCGAUGCAAACUGCGAAUACCGGAGAAUGUUAUCACGGGAGACACACGGCGGGUGCUAACGUCCGUCGUGAAGAGGGAAACAACCCAGACCGCCAGCUAAGGUCCCAAAGUCAUGGUUAAGUGGGAAACGAUGUGGGAAGGCCCAGACAGCCAGGAUGUUGGCUUAGAAGCAGCCAUCAUUUAAAGAAAGCGUAAUAGCUCACUGGUCGAGUCGGCCUGCGCGGAAGAUGUAACGGGGCUAAACCAUGCACCGAAGCUGCGGCAGCGACGCUUAUGCGUUGUUGGGUAGGGGAGCGUUCUGUAAGCCUGUGAAGGUGUGCUGUGAGGCAUGCUGGAGGUAUCAGAAGUGCGAAUGCUGACAUAAGUAACGAUAAAGCGGGUGAAAAGCCCGCUCGCCGGAAGACCAAGGGUUCCUGUCCAACGUUAAUCGGGGCAGGGUGAGUCGACCCCUAAGGCGAGGCCGAAAGGCGUAGUCGAUGGGAAACAGGUUAAUAUUCCUGUACUUGGUGUUACUGCGAAGGGGGGACGGAGAAGGCUAUGUUGGCCGGGCGACGGUUGUCCCGGUUUAAGCGUGUAGGCUGGUUUUCCAGGCAAAUCCGGAAAAUCAAGGCUGAGGCGUGAUGACGAGGCACUACGGUGCUGAAGCAACAAAUGCCCUGCUUCCAGGAAAAGCCUCUAAGCAUCAGGUAACAUCAAAUCGUACCCCAAACCGACACAGGUGGUCAGGUAGAGAAUACCAAGGCGCUUGAGAGAACUCGGGUGAAGGAACUAGGCAAAAUGGUGCCGUAACUUCGGGAGAAGGCACGCUGAUAUGUAGGUGAAGUCCCUCGCGGAUGGAGCUGAAAUCAGUCGAAGAUACCAGCUGGCUGCAACUGUUUAUUAAAAACACAGCACUGUGCAAACACGAAAGUGGACGUAUACGGUGUGACGCCUGCCCGGUGCCGGAAGGUUAAUUGAUGGGGUCAGCGCAAGCGAAGCUCUUGAUCGAAGCCCCGGUAAACGGCGGCCGUAACUAUAACGGUCCUAAGGUAGCGAAAUUCCUUGUCGGGUAAGUUCCGACCUGCACGAAUGGCGUAAUGAUGGCCAGGCUGUCUCCACCCGAGACUCAGUGAAAUUGAACUCGCUGUGAAGAUGCAGUGUACCCGCGGCAAGACGGAAAGACCCCGUGAACCUUUACUAUAGCUUGACACUGAACAUUGAGCCUUGAUGUGUAGGAUAGGUGGGAGGCUUAGAAGUGUGGACGCCAGUCUGCAUGGAGCCGACCUUGAAAUACCACCCUUUAAUGUUUGAUGUUCUAACGUUGACCCGUAAUCCGGGUUGCGGACAGUGUCUGGUGGGUAGUUUGACUGGGGCGGUCUCCUCCUAAAGAGUAACGGAGGAGCACGAAGGUUGGCUAAUCCUGGUCGGACAUCAGG